UACGUAGGGGGCAAGCGUUGUCCGGAUUUAUUGGGCGUAAAGAGCGUGUAGGCGGCUUUACAGGUCCGUUGUGAAAACUCGAGGCUCAACCUCGAGACGCCGGUGGAAACCGUAAGGCUAGAGUCCGGAAGAGGAGAGUGGAAUUCCUGGUGUAGCGGUGAAAUGCGCAGAUAUCAGGAAGAACACCAAUGGCGAAGGCAGCUCACUGGGACGGUAUUGACGCUGAGACGCGAAAGCGUGGGGAGCAAACGGG
rnacentral:rRNA from 1 species